rnacentral:rRNA from 1 species
UACGUAGGGGGCAAGCGUUGUCCGGAUUUAUUGGGCGUAAAGAGCGUGUAGGCGGCCAAGCAGGUCAGCUGUGAAAACUCGAGGCUCAACCUCGAGACGUCGGUUGAAACCGCUUGGCUAGAGUCCGGAAGAGGAGAGUGGAAUUCCCGGUGUAGCGGUGAAAUGCGCAGAUAUCGGGAAGAACACCCGUGGCGAAGGCGGCUCUCUGGGACGGUACUGACGCUGAGACGCGAAAGCGUGGGGAGCGAACGAG